CUUUAGGCUGCUGUAGGAGGAGGCUGCUGGCAGUGUUCAGCCAUCAGCAAGGGGACUUGUGCCUGCUCUGAGGUCUGAUUGUUGCUGUUAUGGGGACCCAAUUUCUGGGCAUCAGGAGAUGUCUCUUUGCUGCAGUGGGAGAAGAAAACAGCAAAUGCGUCUGAGUCGCGCUCUGAAAAAAAAUAAAGCUUGCAGGAAAAAGGCACCACCAAUACAGCCUUGAAAACAAAAUGUGCAAACUUCUGAGAAUAUGCCCUCGUGUUGAAUACACCGGAUUUCUCUCCCGAGCAAAGGGGAAGGUUUUGUUCGUUUGGACAGUCUUUGAAUACUGUUCUAAAACUUCUUUCAAGUGGGGACUGAAGAGAGAAAUGUUAAGUUCUAAGAAGGAGACAAUGCGUUAGCAUCUUUGAACGCAGCCCCUUGCAUGCAAAUCAGCCUUUUGGCAAUUUGGGACGCUUUAAUUGGAAGGUGGCAGCUCGGCAAGAUAAGGCUGCGUCCCUCGGAGCGCAGCACUG